UAGCUAGUUGGUAGGGUAAGGGCCUACCAAGGCGACGAUCGGUAGCUGGUCUGAGAGGAUGACCAGCCACACUGGAACUGAGACACGGUCCAGACUCCUACGGGAGGCAGCAGUGGGGAAUAUUGGACAAUGGGGGCAACCCUGAUCCAGCAAUGCCGCGUGUGUGAAGAAGGCCUGAGGGUUGUAAAGCACUUUCAGUGGGGAGGAGGAUAUUUUGGUUAAGAGCUGAGAUAUUGGACGUUACCUACAGAAGAAGCACCGGCUAACUCCGUGCCAGCAGCCGCGGUAAUACGGAGGGUGCGAGCGUUAAUCGGAAUAACUGGGCGUAAAGGGUGCGUAGGUGGUUAGAUAAGUUAUCUGUGAAAUCCCCGGGCUCAACCUGGGCAGGUCAGAUAAGACUGUUUGACUCGAGUAUAGGAGAGGGUAGUGGAAUUUCCGGUGUAGCGGUGAAAUGCGUAGAGAUCGGAAGGAACACCAGUGGCGAAGGCGGCUACCUGGCCUGAUACUGACACUGAGGCACGAAAGCGUGGGGAGCAAACAGGAUUAGAUACCCUGGUAGUCCACGCCGUAAACGAUGUCAACUAGCUGUUGGCCUUAUGAAUAAGGUUAGUGGCGC
rnacentral:rRNA from 1 species